rnacentral:rRNA from 1 species
UACGGAGGGUGCAAGCAUUAAUCGGAUUUAUUGGGCGUAAAGGGCGCGUAGGCGGGUAUGUAAGUCAGAUGUGAAAGCCCGGGGCUCAACCCCGGAACAGCAUUUGAAACUGCAAAUCUAGAGGGUAGGCGGAGAAAAUAGAAUUCCACAAGUAGCGGUGAAAUGCGUAGAUAUGUGGAAGAAUACCGGUGGCGAAGGCGGUUUUCUAGCUUAUACCUGACGCUGAGGCGCGAAAGCAAGGGGAUCAAACAG